UACGUAGGUGGCAAGCGUUGUCCGGAUUUACUGGGCGUAAAGAGCGCGCAGGCGGUCGUUCAAGUCGCGUGUGAAAGCCCCCGGCUCAACUGGGGAGGGUCACGCGAUACUGAUCGACUGGAAGGCAGGAGAGGGUAGUGGAAUUCCCGGUGUAGUGGUGAAAUGCGUAGAGAUCGGGUGGAACACCAGGGGCGAAGGCGGCUGCCUGGCCCUGACCUGACGCUGAGGCGCGAGAGCGUGGGAGCA
rnacentral:rRNA from 1 species